UACGGAGGGUGCGAGCGUUGUCCGGAAUCACUGGGCGUAAAGGGCGCGUAGGUGGCGCGGGCAGUCAACGGUGAAAGUUCGGGGCUCAACCCUGAAUCGGCUGUCGAUACUCCCGAGCUCGAGCACUGUAGAGGCAGAUGGAAUUCCGGGUGUAGCGGUGGAAUGCGUAGAGAUCCGGAAGAACACCGGUGGCGAAGGCGGUCUGCUGGGCAGUAGCUGACACUGAGGCGCGACAGCGUGGGGAGCAAACAGG
rnacentral:rRNA from 1 species